UACGUAGGGAGCGAGCGUUGUCCGGAUUCAUUGGGCGUAAAGAGCUCGUAGGCGGCUUGGCAAGUCGGGUGUGAAAACUCCAGGCUCAACCUGGAGACGCCACCCGAUACUGCCAUGGCUAGAGUCCGGUAGGGGACCACGGAAUUCCUGGUGUAGCGGUGAAAUGCGCAGAUAUCAGGAGGAACACCGGUCGGCGAAGGCGGGUGUCUGG
rnacentral:rRNA from 1 species